GACGAACGCUGGCGGCGUGCUUAACACAUGCAAGUCGAACGGAAAGACCCUGCUUUUGUGGGGUGCUCGAGCGGCGAACGGGUGAGUAACACGUGAGUAACCUGCCCUUGACUUUGGGAUAACUUCAGGAAACUGGGGCUAAUACCGGAUAGGAGCUCCUGCUGCAUGGUGGGGGUUGGAAAGUGUCGGCGGUUGGGGAUGGACUCGCGGCUUAUCAGCUUGUUGGUGGGGGCGGGGCUUACCAAGGCUUUGACGGGUAGCCGGCCUGCGAGGGUGACCGGCCACAUUGGGACUGAGAUACGGCCCAGACUCCUACGGGAGGCAGCAGUGGGGAAUAUUGCACAAUGGGCGGAAGCCUGAUGCAGCAACGCCGCGUGCGGGAUGACGGCCUUCGGGUUGUAAACCGCUUUCGCCUGUGACGAAGCGUGAGUGACGGUAAUGGGUAAAGAAGCACCGGCUAACUACGUG
rnacentral:rRNA from 1 species